GACGAGCGCUGGCGGCGUGCUUAACACAUGCAAGUCGAACGGAAAGGCCCUGCUUGCAGGGUACUCGAGUGGCGAACGGGUGAGUAACACGUGGGUGAUCUGCCCUGCACUUCGGGAUAAGCCUGGGAAACUGGGUCUAAUACCGGAUAGGAGCCAUUUUUAGUGUGAUGGUUGGAAAGUUUUUUCGGUGUAGGAUGAGCUCGCGGCCUAUCAGCUUGUUGGUGGGGUAAUGGCCUACCAAGGCGGCGACGGGUAGCCGGCCUGAGAGGGUGGACGGCCACAGUGGGACUGAGAUACGGCCCAGACUCCUACGGGAGGCAGCAGUGGGGAAUAUUGCACAAUGGGCGCAAGCCUGAUGCAGCGACGGCGCGUGGGGGAUGACGGCCUUCGGGUUGGAAACUCCUUUCGCUAGGGACGAAGCUUUUUGUGACGGUACCUAGAUAAGAAGCACCGGCUAACUACGUG
rnacentral:rRNA from 1 species